UACGUAGGGUGCAAGCGUUGUCCGGAAUUAUUGGGCGUAAAGAGCUCGUAGGCGGUCUGUCGCGUCGGCUGUGAAAACCCGGAGCUCAACUCCGGGCCUGCAGUCGAUACGGGCAAACUGGAGUACUGCAGGGGAGACUGGAAUUCCUGGUGUAGCGGUGAAAUACGCAGAUAUCAGGAGGAACACCGGUGGCGAAGGCGGGUCUCUGGGCAGUAACUGACGCUGGAGGAGCGAAAGCGUGGGGAGCGAACAGG
rnacentral:rRNA from 1 species